GAGCUAAUGAUGAUAAACAUAAAUAUCUUAGCGGAUUUCAGUGAGAUUUUUAAUCAAUGAUCUGAUUGUUACACACACUGAAGCUCUGAAUAUUUUUUCUUUAAUUAAACGGGAUGUAAAUAAUAAUAGCAAUGAUGAGGUAAAACACAUGAGGAUGUGUUUAGGGCAGUGGACAAUACAAUGAAAGUUGUGUUGCCGUGAUCCCCAAUCUAAACGACUUCUCCUUCCACUGAGCUUU
rnacentral:lncRNA from 1 species